CAGUAGCCGCGGGAAUACGUAGGUGGCAAGCGUUGUCCGGAAUUAUUGGGCGUAAAGGGCUCGCAGGCGGUUUCUUAAGUCUGAUGUGAAAGCCCCCGGCUCAACCGGGGAGGGUCAUUGGAAACUGGGAAACUUGAGUGCAGAAGAGGAGAGUGGAAUUCCACGUGUAGCGGUGAAAUGCGUGGAGAUGUGGAGGAACACCAGUGGCGAAGGCGACUCUCUGGUCUGUAACUGACGCUGAGGAGCGAAAGCGUGGGGAGCGAACAGGAUUAGAUACCCCGGUAGUCCCUGUCUCUUAUAC
rnacentral:rRNA from 1 species